GACGAACCACACAAACGUUAUUCGGAAUUACUGGGCUUAAAGGGUGCGUAGGCGGCGCGGAAAGUAGGGUGUGAAAUCCCUCGGCUCAACCGAGGAAUUGCGCCCUAAACUACCGUGCUCGAGGGAGAUAGAGGUGAGCGGAACUUAGGGUGGAGCGGUGAAAUGCGUUGAUAUCCUAAGGAACACCGGUGGCGAAAGCGGCUCACUGGAUCUCUUCUGACGCUGAGGCACGAAAGCUAGGGUAGCGAACGGGG
rnacentral:rRNA from 1 species